AGAGCCUUAAGUUAAACAAAACUAUAAUCCUUCAAAGUUUAAAACAGAAACCUUAUAAUUUCUAGGCUCUG
rnacentral:tRNA from 1 species